rnacentral:misc_RNA from 1 species
UUUCCGUAGGUGAACCUGCGGAAGGAUCAUUCAUAAUAAAGUGUUUUAUGGCACUUUUUAAAAAUCCAUAUCCACCUUGUGUGCAAUGUUAGAUCUCGUCAAUCUUGGCGAGAUUUUUAUACAUCAACCCAUUCUUUAACUAAUUUGUCUGAAAAAUAUUAUGAAUACUUAAUUCAAAAUACGACUUUCAACAACGGAUCUCUUGGCUCUCGCAUCGAUGAAGGACGCAGC